rnacentral:rRNA from 1 species
UACGUAGGGGGCUAGCGUUGUCCGGAUUUAUUGGGCGUAAAGAGCGUGUAGGCGGCCAGGUAGGUCUGCUGUGAAAACUCGAGGCUUAACCUCGAGAUGUCGGCGGAAACCAUCUGGCUAGAGUCCGGAAGAGGAGAGUGGAAUUCCUGGUGUAGCGGUGAAAUGCGUAGAUAUCGGGAGGAACACCUGUGGCGAAAGCGGCGCACUGGACCACAUCUGACGCUGAGGCGCGAAAGCUAGGGGAGCAAACAGG